GCAACGUUAUGGGCCAGGAGACAAACAGCUCAACCGCUACAAGAACUCCAGGAGCUGCCAGGGGAAACUGUCGCCGCCGCCGUCGCCGCCGCUGCUGCCGUCGCCCAAUGGGGUGCGUUAUCUGCAUGAUGGAUUUUGUGUACGGGGACGCAAUCCGUUGCCUCCCUUGUCUACACAGCUACCACGUCCACUGCUUAGAUGACUGGUUUCUCUACUCUUUAUCGUGUCCCUGCUGCUUUGAGCCCGUAGAUCCGGCUUGGUUUUACUCUUGCUGUUAAGACCUGGAACGCGGCGGCCAUCAUGGCCCUGGUCUUCUUUAGACCAGAAGAACAUCACACCACAGAACAUCUUGCAAGCAGUCCGGCUUCAUUAACAUCAGGCAGCAAACCCAAAUAAACAGCAUUUACCAAAA